rnacentral:rRNA from 1 species
UACGGAGGGUGCAAGCGUUGUUCGGAUUUAUUGGGCGUAAAGCGCGUGUAGGCGGUUUCUUAAGUCUGAUGUGAAAGCCCUGGGCUCAACCCAGGAAGUGCAUUGGAUACUGGGAGACUUGAAUACGGGAGAGGGUAGUGGAAUUCCUAGUGUAGGAGUGAAAUCCGUAGAUAUUAGGAGGAACACCGGUGGCGAAGGCGGCUACCUGGACCGAUAUUGACGCUGAGGCGCGAAAGCUAGGGGAGCAAACGGG